rnacentral:rRNA from 1 species
GACGAACUGUGCAAACGUUAUUCGGAAUCACUGGGCUUAAAGGGUACGUAGGCGGUCUUGUAAGUAGGGUGUGAAAGCCCCCGGCUCAACCGGGGAACUGCGUCCUAAACUGCGAGGCUUGAGUGAGGUAGGGGUGUGUGGAACUUCCAGUGGGAGCGGUGAAAUGUGUUGAUAUUGGAAGGAACGCCGGUGGCGAAAGCGACACACUGGACCUUGUCUGACGCUGAGGCACGAAAGCCAGGGGAGCAAACGGG